CAGGUCAUUGCUCAAAUGGGGUUUUCAAGUCUUGAUGACUUUUCAAAGACAUUGAUUAAUUGAGCUCAGUUUGUCAUUUAAGCUAAUUCCUUGAAGCUCAAGGUUAAGAGUCUCCCAAUGCUUACUAAAGAAGAAGUAUUCUAAUAUUCCCUAUCCAAAGUACAUGAGGCCAGAUUUGGCAAAUCAAACUGCUAAACACAUAACAGACAGCUGCAUCUUAUCUGUUUUUUUUUUUUUUUUUGCAUGCUCCUCUACCAUGUAUUAAUUAAUUCCAUUUUCACCUCCAAUUCAAACAUGCAAUUCCAACUCUACAAAAAGAAUGCAACCCAAAUCAAAGCACACAGGAGGAGGAGGGCAGGUUCUUCUAGCUAGCUAAUUAUGCAAACCUCCAAAUUGUAACAUGCCCUUUGACAAUUUGGAUGCCCUUUUGAAAGAGAAGUUCUUGACACCUGUCACAAUCUGGUGGAUUCAUCCACUGGUGGGCACCACACUAGGAACCUAGCUCCAUGCUAGCUUUAAAAGUAGAACCAUAAUGAAGCAUUUUGCACCAACCAGCAUGGACAAGAAUGGCCAUGGUGUUAAGAAUUUAUUUGUGAUGAGAGCCCUCGAAAAGGAAAUGGCAGUUCAUAGUUGGCUGAGGGCCUAGACAUGCAUUAGGACAAGAGUGGGUGUGUUUCCAUAAGAAACAGAAGAAGAAGACAGAUUAGGGGCCAAAAAAAAAAAAGUGGACAUAUAAUUUCAACUCUGUCAAAAGUAGCAAUAUAUAUGAUUGGCCAUAUUCUUUGUCAAUUUUAAAUAUAUUUUUUAAGUUAUAUAUCUUAUAAUUAUGUUCAACUUUCUAAGGAAUAAAAAAUAAAAAAACUUAAGUCCACACCAGGUCCCAUGAGGGGGGAGAGAGAGAAUGAUUCUUUUGUACAGUAUUUUUUCUUUCAUUUCUCAGAUUAAUUUUGCUUAGGGAAUAGGGCCAUUGGACAAUGGUGGUUGAUGCCUUGGUGGAUAUAUAUUUCUAAGGGAGACUUUGGAAAAGCCCAAAGGAGAGAGAAAAUUUUUAAAAGAAGCCAAAAUAGACAAAAUUGCCCUUAUUUUUUUUUUGAUUUCUUAAGGAAUCCUUUACAUUUGCAUGCCUUUGGUUUGAAAGUUGAGAGGUUUUUCUGUCUUUUUUGAAAAAGCUUUGGCUUUUUCCAAAAGUGAAAGUUUUUUUAUGGGUAAAAUCUAAAUUUACUUAUUUCUAAUUAGGUGUAAAGAGUUUAAUAAUAAUGGCAUGGGACCUAUGCUUACAUACAUAACAGUAACUGGUGUGCUGAGAUAAUGAACCUAAACAUAAUAGAAGAAUUGACUUUUAUCAACCAAUGCUUUAAAGAUUGGAACUUCUCCAAUCAACUCAAAUUGCUUUUUUUUUUACUAUUUAUUAUUUAUGUCGUUCAACUUUAUCCAUGUGCUCAAACACAAAGGAAAAUUGUGGUGGUUGGGUUUAGAUUGGAAGGAAGUGGAGUUCGUGUUUUUAUAAGUUUCAUCCCUUUGAAGAAAUUUGUAAAACAUAAUAUGUUAAAUUGUUGUCUAAUGUAUUUAUAAGUUUGUUAAAGAGCGAUUGUUGUCUACCUUUAUAGUUAGAUUGUUCCCUCCUUCUCUUCUUCUCUCAUUUUCAAAGACAAAGUUUUCUCUAUUUGUCUUGAUUUUGUUAUGAUUUUAGACCUGCGUUUUGGCAUUGGAUAUCCAUCAUUAUCCUUUUUGCAGUUUCUUUAUGUUUGGAAUAAAUUACCGAGACUCUUUAGGUUCUAUGUGUAGUUUUCACCUCUCAUUUUGUAAGAGUUUUUCACCUCGCCUUUAUGAGAGCUUUUCAUCUCUUUUUUGUGAGAGUUUUAUUUGUAUUGUUAUGACUUGGUUUUUUCAAGCUUUAUCUAUUUUUGAUUAUUCUGAGUUUGUAAUCUUAGUUAGGAUGACUAUACCAGAAUUUCUUCGAUCGUGCGUGAUUGUUAGUAGAGGCGCAUCAGAUUAUCUUAAUUUUGAUGUUAGACCCCUUUGUUAUUGUAAUGGUCCUUUGUGGCUAGUUUGUAUUAGCUCUUUGUAGAGAGUAACUUUUUUGGUUAAAUUAUGAAUGCAAUCCUAAAAUUUUUCAAAAACAAAAAAAAACUAUUAAUUUAAUUGGAAUAGUUCAACUUCGAGUCACCAAACAUUGGAUUUUUUAGGUAACAAAAGUAAUAUAGAGAUUACUAUGUAAACAAAAUGUUAUGCCUUAUUUGGAUAGGAUAAAGUGGUUAACAGCCCAGAAUUUUUUAUAUUAAAAAAAGCAGAGAUGAAAAUAAAGAGUUACCACAGUAAAUAUUAUCUCUCAGUCACUGUAAAACAAAAAGUAAAAUUAUCUCUGGUCAGAUUUUGAAAACCAAAAGAAGUCAAAGAAAUGCCGUCAUGCAAUCGAACGGGCUCUAUGCACCCACGCAAAACUCGGAGCCCGAAUCGGCGGCGAAGAUUAACCGAAGACCUCCUCUCGUCGUCGUUAUCGUUAAACGACAGCACGGGGACGAGAGCACGUUGGUUCAUAUUUAUCAAGAAAUUAAUUUCGCGCGGGUCCACAUAUCAGACGUAGACGAGACCACGUCACUAUCGCAACCCUACCCACAAUAACGGCGUUCCGUCCACCUAGUCACGAACUCAUGAUCCACUCUCUCCCACUACCGAUGACUUAUAAUUACUCGCCUCCCUUCCCCCAACCUCCUCUUCAUCCCCGGAAGCCCUUCGAAACUGCCAACUUAAGUAGCGGUUUUUCUGUUCUUAUUAUUUUAUUAUUUUCUUUUUUUUGGUGAAAGAAAGAAAGAAAAAGAAAAGAAAAAGUAAAUUUUUGGUCCAUUGGGCAACAGUUUUUUUUGUUUGCAGGUUCAUUCAUCUUGGAUGCUAUUUUAGCAGCACCAUCAGUUGAGAGUCAUCAUAACAUGUACGUUUCCACUGCGCUCUCUCUCUCUCUCUCUCUCUCUCCACUCAUACUCUGCUGUUCCACAUUUUACUUUGUGUUCUGAAAGAGUGAAUUUUUUAAAUUGUUUUGGUCUCAGAGGCAGAGUUGCACUAAUUUUGGACUUGGGUUCACUCUAAAACCAGAGGACUUUGUUGGGUCAGAUCUGAAACUGAAAGGAAAUGGUGGGCAGGUGAGUUGAGCUUCUGGGUACUUUGGUUUUCAUUUUUACUUGUUUGUUGAAAUGUUUUCCCAUGUAUAAAUUUUGGGUUUCUGCUAUUUUUGAAAUUUGAACGGCAAAGUUGAAAGAAACAAAGUUACAAAGAACAAAGAACAAAAAGAAAGCUCGGUUUCUGGUGGUACAUACUUUGCUUUUGCAUAAUAAAAUAUGUUCCUUUUUGACUAUAAACACGAUAUUCAAAGCCUGCAAGUUUCCAUUUUUUAUAGCAGAAAUUUCUCAGAGUCACCUCUACUUUUUCUCGACAAUAGUCUUGGAAUCUGAUUUUUUUUCCUUUCUCUUUUCGCUUUACAUUCUGUCUUUUGUAUUUUUAACUUAAUUUGUUUCUAUAUUUGUUUGUGCAUCUUCAGCCAAAACCCUGAAGGGCCAGAACCAUGAAAAGAGAGAAACUUUGCAGAAACAGCUCGUUCUCUGCUUGUAGUGUUGGGGAUUUUGGUAAGGGGAGAGUGAGGGAAAUGGCAGGUCGUUGCAUUCUGUAUUGGAUUUUCUUGCUGGGUUUGGUUUUCUUGCAAGGAAAUGCAGACCCAGUUGAAGAUAAGCAAGCCUUGCUUGAUUUUGUGAACAAUCUCCCUCACUCCCGCUCUCUUAAUUGGAAUGAGAGCUCUCCUGUGUGUGACCAUUGGACUGGAGUGACUUGUAGUGAGGAUAAGUCUUAUGUGAUAGCCGUCCGAUUGCCCGGCAUUGGAUUUACUGGCCAGAUACCACCUUACACGCUUAGCCGCCUCUCAAGGCUGCAAAUUUUGAGUCUUAGAUCCAAUGUGAUAAGUGGGCAGUUCCCUUCUGAUUUCUUCAACCUCAAAAACUUGUCUUUCCUCUAUCUCCAAUUCAAUAACUUCUCUGGACCAUUGCCCGGGGACUUCUCAGUUUGGAAGAACCUCACCAUUGUCAAUUUGUCUAACAAUCACUUCAAUGGGAGCAUUCCUUAUUCGCUUUCCAAUUUGACUCAGCUUUCAGGCUUGAAUCUUGCUAACAAUUCCCUUUCUGGUGAAAUUCCUGAUCUCGAAUCAAGCAAGUUGCAGCAGCUAAACUUAUCUAACAACAAUCUCAAUGGUAGUGUUCCCAAAUCACUUCAGAGGUUUCCAAGGUCGGUUUUCGUGGGUAACAACAUUUCUUUUGCUAGUUUCCCACCCAGUCUUCCUCCUGUUCUUCCACCCGCCCCUAAACCAUAUCCGAAAUCUAAGAAUGGUGGGAAGCUUGGUGAGACAGCAUUACUAGGAAUUAUAGUUGCUGGUGCUGUUUUGGGCAUUGUGGCGUUUGCAUUUCUAAUACUUGUUUUCUGCUCAAGAAGAAAACAGGAAGAUGGGCUUUCUGGAAAGUUGCACAAGGGAGAAAUGUCACCGGAAAAAGUGAUCUCAAGGAGUCAAGACGCGAAUAAUAAACUGGUUUUCUUUGAGGGCUGUCAUUACGCAUUUGAUCUGGAGGAUUUAUUGAGGGCUUCUGCUGAGGUACUUGGAAAAGGGACAUUUGGUACAGCAUAUAAGGCAAUAUUAGAAGAUGCAACCGUUGUGGUGGUGAAGAGGUUGAAGGAUGUAAAUGUUGGGAAGCGGGACUUCGAGCAACAUAUGGAGAUUGCUGGCAACAUUAGGCAUGAAAAUGUGGUUGAACUGAAGGCAUAUUAUUAUUCCAAAGAUGAGAAGCUAAUGGUAUAUGAUUACUACAACCAGGGGAGCGUCUCUGCUUUGUUACAUGGUAUGUUACUAUCUUCCAUCCUUGAUGAGUGUUAACUUGAUAACUGUAAUUUUCUCUAUUUUGAAAAUUGUUGAAUGCAAAUAGCUGAUUGUUGUACUUCUUAUUUUGGAAAUUAAUAACCUUUAGAUCCUGUACAUCAUAGAAGUUGUCUGUUUAUAAGUAGUCAUCUGUAGCUAAAAUUGUUUGAGUAUUUUUCACUUCAAUCAUUCUGAAUAAUUUGUUGGAAUUGUACUACUAAGUAUAUGAUAGAUGCCAGUUGGAACAAGUCCGAAACAUAGUGGAAUACUAUUGGUCUGUACUGCAGUCCUUGUUUUGAGAUGAUCCUGGGUCUGUCAAAAUGUUAGAAUGUGUCUUGGCCUGCUGGAUGUAGCAUAUGGUCAACACUUGUGAAAAUAUUAUGCUGCUAAAUUAUGUAGAUUCGGAUAAUUCACUUUACUCUGUCAUGUGUAGCAAUUCUACUGUGCCAAUAGCUUAGAACUGUUUAAUACUUGAAUUUUUGAGUUUUAGAAGCUACCGUUGAUUCUGACAAUAAAACUAUAGUGACUGCUUAUGAGUCCAGUGGUAAUUUAUGCAUUAAAAUACUAACUAGCAAGUACCAACAGGCCUUGGCAUCCAUACUAAUGUUAUGUUGCCUUGUACCUUCGUGAGGCUUUCUUUGACCAAGUCCAUGCUAUCAAUAUAAAAUGAUCUGUUGAACAUUAGGGAGUAAAUAUCUUCAAAGACAAGCCUAUUAGUGUAAAUGAUAUUUAUCUGGUUCUUCCAUUCUAGGGUCGUUUGUUUGUAAACCAUGUGGUGCAUCGGACAUAUUAACUUCUCUAAAGGUAGAGAUAUGCGAAUGUUGUAUUUAGGGAAUCAUGUGUCAUUCUUUGGUGCACUGUUAGUUUUAUCUUGAUCAAGGAACCUUCAAACCCCCAAAGUUUCUAUGUUCAAAAAACAUCUGUUGUAAGCUGGUAACUGGGAGGAACUCAGUUUUAUUGAAGAAAAUCUAUUGUAUUUGUCGGAUUUGGCAUCUUUCGGAAUGACAAUAUUUAGUUGGUGUCAUGCUUGGGAAUUCUAACUCCAUUGUGCAUGUUGCACUGCCACCCACUGUAGAGAUUAAUAUAUAUCUUGCAUUGCUCUUUCGAUUUUCAGGUAGAAGAGGAGAGGACAGAGUCCCUUUAGAUUGGGAUACCCGACUGAAAAUAGCUAUUGGAGCAGCAAAAGGAAUUGCUCAUAUACAUACAGAGAAUGGUGGGAAGCUUGUCCACGGAAACGUCAAAGCCUCAAACAUCUUUGUAAACUCGCAACAGUAUGGUUGUGUUUCUGAUGUUGGCUUGGCAACUAUAAUGAGCUCACUAGCUCCCCCAAUCUCCCGUGCUGCUGGUUACCGAGCCCCAGAAGUGACAGACACCAGGAAAGCAGGACAAGCAGCUGAUGUCUACAGUUUUGGGGUUGUGUUACUGGAACUCCUCACUGGAAAAUCCCCUAUCCAUACUACUGCUGGUGAUGAGAUUGUCCACUUGGUCAGAUGGGUGCAUUCAGUUGUCCGAGAGGAGUGGACAGCAGAAGUGUUUGACAUAGAGCUCAUGAGGUAUCUAAAUAUAGAGGAAGAAAUGGUAGAGAUGUUACAGAUUGCCAUGUCUUGUGUGGUAAGGAUGCCUGAUCAAAGACCUAAAAUGCUGGAUGUAGUGAAGAUGAUAGAAAGUGUCCGCCGGAAUGAUAAUGAGAAUCGACCAUCGUCUGGAAACAGAUCUGAAAGCUCAACCCCACCACCAGUGGUUGGAACAGAACAUCCAACAUCACAAUGAAUGAACCAUUUGCUAUUUUUCCCAUCUAGUGAUGUAUUUCAUUUCAUCUCAAAAUGUCGUUUUGCUCCAGUGAAUGAACAAAUUUUUUUCAAUUUUUUUUUCUUCUACUUUAUCCCAUUUAGGAAGAGCUAGGUCAUGUAUCAAUGUAGUAGUGACUAUAAUUCUGGAAAUGGCAUUUCAAAUAUGCUUUUUGGUACUUGGAACUCUCUCUCUCUCUCUCUCUCUCUCUCUCUCUCUCUCUCUCUCUCUCUUAGACACACACACACGCAUAUUAAAAGGAGAAUGCAAAAAACAUAUUUUGCUUGAAUAGAUGCAUAGGCAUAAUCGUGCCAAAGAUGCUAUACAUAUCUUUGUGUCAUAUAAAAACUGACUGCAAGAAUAACUUCCUGCUGGCCUCUGCAUGGGUCCUACUAUGUUUUCCUGAAGGAUGCAAUGCAACUGUUUGUACAACUGUUUUUCACAAAAUCUGUCUUUCAAAUUGAUUAUUAACAUUCUUCCACUCCAGUUAAUAUAUAGAAGGGUGUUUUUGUAAAAACUCUUUUUUGUUUUGUUUUUUUAUCUCAAUCAUCACUUAUUUUAUCCAAAGCAACUCACAGCGGAGGGCAUCAUGAUCUACAAGCAUAGAUUGGACAUUUAUUUGGAAAUAUUCUGCUAUUGCACGUGAAGUCUUCAGAGCUGUUUGAUGCUGGCAAAAGCUCAUCAGAAUGUGAAAGAUACUGGAGGGAAAAAUCAAACACACCAACAAAAUCUAAAAGUUGUGUUUGCUUUUGCUCAACAUUUCAAAGCAGUGUCCAUAAUCUACAUGUAAAAAGAUACGUUUCGAAUUAGGGUUUUGCUCAAGUUUAGUCCAAAAGAAAGAAAGAAAAAAAACUGCUUCGUUUCCUGGUUUCCAUUUACAAAAAUACCUUUUUGGGAAAAUUUAUACGAGGGUAUGUUUGGAUAGAAACAAUGAAUUUUGAUAUUGAUAAUAUGGUUACAUUGGUUAGAAAAAUGUUGAGAGAGAUGCUGGAUACAAUGUGAUUGAAAAUACUGGGUACAAUGUUGUACUAUUAUGACCUUGAAAAUGAUUAGGUACAAUGGAUGGAUUUCAUUCUAUUCUUUUUCGUGCUAAGAUUAUAAUGAAGAAAAUCUAACUAUAAAGAUAAAUUUUCAUAGAUUUGAAACCUAACAUUCCAAAUGGAGUCUUGCAAGAAUAUUGGGGAUAAACAAAAAUAUAUAUAGGUAUAGGUGGUUUUGAUGUGGUCAAAUUUUGGGUUGUAAUCGAGAUUUGUCAUGUCAUUGUCAUGACUAACUUACCUAAGAUAUAUCUGCAAUACGACCUAUUUCUUAAUUAAUUUCUAAGAUGCAUCUUAUCCUUUGACUAGAAUUUAAGACUAGAGUUUACUUAUUUUUAAGACUAAAUCAAUUGCCUAGCCGUCCUUAUUGAAAAAAUAACUUGAUUUUCUAACGAUGUCCACAUAUUGGCCUUAACGCGUAGAAAAAUUUAGGUGAUCAUUUUAACCAUAUUACAAUGUGAGUGCUACACAUUAAAUUAUUAAUCUUUAUUAACAAAAUCAUCUUACAUUUUAACUAUGAUUACCUAAAACUAAAUACAAUAACACAUGUUUUUAACAAAUGAUAAGAUUUUUUAUUUUUUAUUUUCUAUUGUCACAAGGGACAAGAUUCGAACACAGAAAUCACUCCUUUUUCUUUUUUUCUCCAUUGUACCAUGGUCUAUAGAAUGGCACACUUUGAUUGGACGGAUGUGUGGAGCAAAAUUACAGUCUUGUCCCCUCCUCUUUCCCUAGGUAUAAUAUAUAAACUCAUUUUGAGUGGUUGUUCAAGAGCUACCACCUUCUCAAUAAACGCAAAAGAUUAAAAAGAUAAAAAAAACAUAAAAUCUAAAUCAAUAAUAAAGCAGGAGGUUCUCUCAGGUCAAGGUACUCUCUCUACCAUCUCUCUGCUACUUGCACACAAGAAAUGAAAUUUGGGUUUUCUUUGUUGUGUGUGUGAAUUUAUUAGAUUGAGGUCAGGUUCAUCUAGGGUUUGGUUUGGUUUGUUUGUUGGCUUGUGAAGGUGAUGGCGUCGAAACGGAUCCUGAAGGAGCUGAAGGACCUCCAGAAAGAUCCUCCUACUUCAUGCAGCGCUGGUACUUUCCAUUUCCAAACCCGAUCCGUUGCCUCUUCUUUUUCAUUUUAAUUCUGCUCAAGUUUUAAUUUUGUGUUUUUGGGUAAGAAUUAUGUAGAAGUUUGUUGAUUGCAUCCUCUUUUGAGAUUUUGGCUCAUGUGUACCAUCUGAUUUGAGCUUCCAUCUAUGCUUAUUUUUAGAAAUUUGCUAUUUUUUAUUAACCCAGACCAGGAAAUCUGUGCAAAGCUGCAGUCUUGCACCGAUUUGGUGGUCAAAUCAAUUUUGUAUUAUUGUUCUCAUGCUAAAUUAUGUGUUUGUCUCAUAAUCAAAUGGAAUUGCAUUAUUUUUAAGUUGGUCAACUGAAUUUCAUCGUUAAGAAUCAUCAGAGAAUAUGAAAGAAAAUAGUGAAUGAUAUGGGAUACUGAAGGUGCUAUUGUGUGGCAGUUGUUACCCAUACCGAUUUCCUUGCCCUAAUUAAAUGGCAAUAGACCUCCUACCUAGCAUCUUGGGUAUAAAUGGGUAAUUACCCUUUUAACUCCUUGUUAAAUGGUCUGGGUUGUGGGGACCUGUAAUGACCCACUGAAUCCUCAGAAAGAAAAGCUUUUAAUUUUAAGCCUGGUUAUCUGUAUAUCCGCAGUGGUUGGGACUGAUUUUUGUCAUUCUGAGUCUUGUAUGAUUUUGAGGGCUGAGUAGACAUUAAAGGUGUUAAAGAGGGAGGUUCGGGCAGUCAAAGAAGUUGGCUGGUAAUUUGAAGUUGGAACAAUGUUAUCCUUUGGUACAGCUGUUGUAUUGUUUUAAAUGUUGUGGUGGGAAGACUCAUUCUUGUCUGCCAGGGUGGGUGGUUGAGUAUUGUUUCGGGGUUUCUUUCUUGACGCUUACGUCAAUAGAUUCUCUGAAAUAGCAUUCCUUUGCAAGUGAAGGAUCAAAUGCUUUCUCUUUCUUCUUUUAAUAUAUUUCCCCUUUGGAACACUGUCUACACCAUUGAGUGAAUUAUAGUAUCUUGAGCUGGAUAUUUCCAUAAUGGACCUACACCCACCCACCCUUAAAAUUGGAUUAGAUGGCCAUAGGCAAUAGAUAUAAGUGGCAAAUAAAUGGUAGUUCUUAGUCUAUCUAGUUUACGACGCACCCUAAACUGACUCAUUUGCCACCUUUGGUGCCAUAAAUGCUAUAUUAUUUUGCUGUUAAUUUGAAGAUUACCAUUACUUUGUCUUAUAUAUGGAUAUCUUAUAAAUGAUACACUUGUUUUUGAGUUUUGAAUAACUCAACUGUGGUUGGAAUCUUUUUGUCAUCAUCAUCACGCCACCCUGGAUUUUAAUACCCUUAAUGGCUGCAAAAGUUCAUUCUUUUGGGAGAAUAUGAAGUCACUCAUUUAUAGCCACAGCAGUCUAUCUACUGUGUGGAAUAAAUCUAUGUGCAAGUGAAACCCUUCAAAUCUUUUAGGCAAUUGGAACUCUUUUGUAUCAAAUUUUCUCAAUGAAUUGGUAACUUUUGGCUGCUUUUUCUUUUCAGGAGAAAUUUACACAAUGAAACUAUUCUGAUAAAUGACUACGUCAUUCUUCUCAGCAGAUAUUCAAUUUGAUUGUCUUUACUCUAAUGUAUAUCUUUAGGGCCAGUUGCAGAAGACAUGUUCCACUGGCAAGCGACAAUAAUGGGUCCUGCUGACAGUCCAUAUGCAGGUGGAGUGUUCCUUGUCACUAUACAUUUUCCUCCAGACUAUCCUUUUAAACCACCCAAGGUACUUGCUAGCUUUCUAUAAAUUUCACAUCAAAUUGGUCUUCUGUUGCAUGGAAGUUCCUUUUUUUAUUGCUUUCAUGUGAGAGAGAGAGAGAGAGAGAGAGAGAGAGAGAGAGAGAGAGAGAGAGAGAAUCUGGCGCAUAUUGUCUUGUGGCCUAUCACACCUAUGUUUGAUGUCAAAUGUAUUUUCAGACUCCCAAGGGAGUUGAUAACAUUGUGAUAGUAGAAAUUGACAAUUAUAACUUAUUUAGCAAUGAAGUAAGAUGGUGUUCCUGAAGUUUAAAAAAUCCCAAAUUUUAACAAAUGACUAGGAAAUACUGAACUUUUGCGCAUUGUUUGUUUUCAAGAUCAUUUCCAUGUAAAAUUGGCACGACAAACUGAAGAUUUUGUUGUCCAACUUUUCAUUCGUUCAUUACUUUUUGCUACUUAUAUGAUCUUUUGUGCAGGUUGCAUUCAGGACAAAGGUGUUUCACCCUAAUAUCAACAGCAAUGGUAGCAUUUGCCUUGACAUUUUGAAAGAACAGUGGAGCCCUGCCCUGACCAUAUCCAAGGUAAAUGCUUAAUUCCUAAACAGGAAUAGUUUUUUCAUAAAUUUUGAGCGUUCUGUAGAAACUUGUUUCCCCUAUUGGGAUUCUACAUAUGAUUCCAUUUUAUGUCUAUAAUUUCGGAUGCGUCAAUACAGGAAAUGCUAAUCAAUAGGGCUGAAACUCAGGUUUUUACAUACAGAAAUUGCAAUUGUAUUACCCUGAAGUUUUACAAGUUAAGAUUUGCACAAAAGAUAAAGAGCUCUAUGCAAUGAAACAGCAUACAAUCCUUUAUUGACCAAAAUGAUUUGCUUUUCUUUAUAAAAAGAAAAAUAACAAAUUAUCAUCUGUGCUAAUUCUUGUGUCCAAGAAAUUUUCCAUAGUGAAGUACUGAUUGAUCUUGUGGAUCCCAUUGCAUUUUGCAACUGUUAUGAUGUUGUAUACUGAAAAUGAAACAUGGUUGAAUCAAUUGUGCCAUAUUCAUUGAACCUGGUAUGAUUGGGAAAUUUUGGUGCUGUUAUAGUUGAUGCAAUGUUAUGUUAUUUGUGUUACUGAAGCAUGGGAACUGGUUUCACUUUAUUUUCAGGUAUUGCUUUCAAUCUGUUCACUGUUGACAGACCCCAACCCUGAUGACCCUUUGGUUCCGGAGAUUGCCCAUAUGUACAAGACUGACAAGAACAAGUACGAGACCACCGCAAGGAGCUGGACUCAGAAGUAUGCUAUGGGUUAGUGUGAGCUGCUAGGACACUGAGAGGAGGGCUUUCUGUCCCUGUGGCAUUGAUCUGGUGAUCAGAUGUAUGAAUGGCGUGAUCUGUUCUUCACAUAAGUGGACCAAUAGGGAGAGUAUUCUGCCCUCGGAACGCAAUUGCUUUGAAUUGUUAAUUUGUUAUGCAAUAUUUAUAUAUAAGACAUUGAAACCAUCUUAUCUCUCUCGUGUCUGAAACCCCCUAACAACCCAAAAGAAAAUGAAAUUUGACCCCACAAAGUCGAGAUAGAUAUGCCAUUGAAAACAUGUUAAGAGUAUGAACCCACAUAAUAAUUGCAUCACUUUAUGCACAUAUUAAAUUAUCCCAUGAUAUCUUGGGGAUUUUAGAGAAUUGAUUGAGUGACUGGCCAGGUGUUUGUAGUUCGUGUUGAGCCGAUUAUCUGUGUAAAAGGUUUGGCCAGGUUAGGUUGUAUAUCAUGUGUAUUAAAUUUGGUUGAAUCUGGCAGUAGUGCAAAAGAAUUUUUCAUCAGAACCAAUAAAUUUUUAAUUGAACUAAAAAGAAGACAUAGAAUAAAAUUGGGAAGAAAAAGUAGCCCAGUUGUGUGCAGGCAUAUGGGCCAUCACCAUUAACAUCAAGCUGUCACAUUUGUGUCUUGACACAUGGAUGGAAAGGAGUUCAUUUCCCAUCGGGGUAAAUGGGUUGGGCCCAAGAAAUCUAUUUUGAACUGAGAAGGUGAGUUUUACUUGUGAAUUGAUAAAGAAUUAGAACUAGUGGUAUCCUGCAAGAGGCUUGUAGUUAAAGUGGUUAUGAAUAUGUACCUAUAUAACAUGAGGUCGUAAGUUCGAUAUUUGAUUUUCCCUUGUAAUUAUUUUAGGAUUAACUUGGAGGUUUCUACAGACCAAAUCAUAUAAGGAGAACAUUUACAAGUCACAACCCUCUUUGGAUUUGUUCGGUACUAAAAUGAAGUUUCAAGAAAUUGGCAGAACACUUGCACGUUUAUCUCAUAACAGUUGAUGGUGUGUGGUGGGUGAUGGGUCUUGAUAUAUGAUUCAUAUAUAUAUAUGCUGGAAGAAGGAAAAAGCUGUUCAGAAGAGGGUGGCCCACUGGGGUUACUGGGCUUCCAUUUCUGUGUGGCCUUUCAACUUCAAGCACUCUGAGUUUUGAGGUUGCCUUUAAGUUUCCUGGAUCCUGCAAAAAUCUAAGAAAAAGAAGUGAGGAGGAGGAGGAGGCCUAAGCCUAACAAUGACAGGAGCAAAAAUCCAAGUGACAGUACAAGUAGAAUGGUAAAAUCUUCUUUAUGAAGCAAAAAAACACCCAAAAAAGAGUCAAAAUCUUGUUAAUUAAUGAUCCAAAAUCUAACCUUAGCUCCCCCACACCCUUUUUUUUUCUCCCUGUGGUCAGCAUCAGAACAAGUGGAUGAAUAAAACAUCAGUCAAAUUGUAAAAUUUUUGUCAGUACAUUAUCAACAUGUUGCAUAUCAAUAUUUGGAUAUCAAAUCCCACACAAACAGAAGAUGACAAUUCUGUCAUUUGGGAACAAAUGUAGGGCCACAAUCCUAGGGCAUACUCCUACGAACAGGACCUAACCCUUACCCUUGUUUUUUAACCCUAGUCUUUUCUCAUUUUCAACGUGGUAAAUAUAAAUUACCAAUAUAAAACUGAAAUCAUGGUCUUUAGGGCAUGCCCUACAAGUUGGUUCUAUAGGGUUAGAGCCUAGGGCCAAGGGCCCUAGAGAGAGAGAGAGAGAGAGAGAGAGAGAGAGAGAGAGAGAGAGAGAGAUACUUGUUCCCCUCACGUCUCGCUUUCUUUACUCAGUGUUGUUGUCGUUGUUUGCUGUGUGUGUAGCCUUGGCCUUUAGGUAGGCUUUUUUCACCUCUUGUGUCGUUGAAAAGCCAUUUUAUGCUCCCACAUGAGCCUUUAUUUUAAAUCAAAAGAUAUAAUUUUUGCUUUAUUGUUAUUAGGUUCGAAUUAAUUGAUUCAAAGUCAAAACAUUAGAGACAGCUUUGAAGAACAUCAGCCCAUCUAUCUAGGGGAACCUCUUUGGGUGGUGCCAGUUCUCACCAGAAUAAAGAACUUCUUCAUGCGAAUGUGAGCUAGGGGUAGACAGUACCCUUUCUUGUACUCAAGAUCGAAUUUCUCUCUUUAUAAAUUAUAUUUAUUUAGAAUAAUUUUUACUAUCCUUUGUAUGAAAGAAAAAGAAAUUAAAAAAAACUUAUUCCUAUGACACAAAACAUACAUGUUGUGUUCUUAAAAUUGUCAUGCAUGUUCAUAUUUACAUCAUAUGUUUAAAUAAGAAUUAACUUCAUCAGUUUUUGAAUUGAUAAUCUGACAAUAUUAUCUACGUAAACCAUACGAACUCAAGAAUCCACCGGCCGGAAACUAUGGAGUCAAUAACCAUGGCCUGUUAACCCUUGUAAUUUAAUAAGGUUUUGUUCCCCAUGAAAACAUAAAACAAAAGGCAAAAUGAAGCUUAGUUAGUUGUAUCUUAGUGGCACAGAGAUAUCAUGUUUUUCUAUGUCUAAAACACCAUUGUAUUUGGAGUAGUUAAUUCGAAUUGCACGUGGAAAGCUUAAUGCAGAAAAAGAAAAAAGAAAAAAAUCCAAAUUAAUGAAUUAUCCCCCGGCAAAUGGGUCGUGCUUAGGAGUUGGAAAGGACCCUGGCCCCAGAAAAUCAGGCCCCUAAUUCCUACUUUAAUCACAAUUAGUUUUCUACUUUUAAAAUUAAAAUAAAAUUAUUAGUGUACUUUGGAGGGCUUAUUAUUGUCUCUACUGAGGACAAGAGUGACUAUUACAAGCUGCUGACCCCCACUCAAAUAUAUGUGAUGUGGCCAUUGUCGAGCUUGGUCUCCAUUUCUUUAGAAACUCUUAGCAGUUUCUGAAGUGGGCUUCAACCAAAGUUUGGUUAAAAUAAUGUUGAGAUGUUAAUGGCUCUUUUAAUCAUUUGUUGAUUGGAGUCUAAUCAUUUAAUCAUGUCGUAAUGUUGAUUGUUCAUUUGAUCGUUAAUCGCUUUCGAAUCCCAAAUUAAUCAUGUAUGCUUUGAGACAACACCAAAAGCCAAUUAGUAUGAUAUCCCUUAAUUUUUUCCGUCACAUUGCAAUUACAUUAUUAUUCUUUAUCGAGCUUUGUUUUCAUAUUCGUUUAAGAGAAUAAAUUUUAAUAGAUACUUUUUUGUUAGACGUGACAGAAAUUUAUAACGUGUUAUAAGUUUUUGUUCACAAAACAGUAGAUGCAAUGCAUUAAAGAGGCUUCAUUAUUGUGUUUGAAAUCAUGGACCAAACAUGUCGUCUAUUAUAUAAACAUGCCCAAUCAUCAAAAUAGCAAAUAAUCAUUGUUGCCUUAUCGCUUGAAUUAAUACUCUUUUUAUGCAUAAUGUGACGGUCGGAUUAAUAAAGAAAAUGGGUGGUCCAAAAGUGAAGUUUGGUGAGUCUUUGAACCUAAACCCAUAGAAAGAAACACAUUAAACAAGGGUUUAACAUUCCAAGCGUGAUUUUGUUCCCAAAUGUUGGCUGUCUUCUCAACCCUUAAACCCUCAAUUUCAGGGUUUCCAAAUUCGAAUUACUUUUUUUUUCACAAAAGAACAAUUUCAUAGUUCCUGCUUUGGAAAUUGGAAAUUAUAAAAAUUAUAAAAACAAAAAACAAAAAAACAAAAAAACAAUCAGGGAAGCCACGUCACGAUCACAUGGCAAAAGUUGAAGUUCUCAUAUCGGUUUGAAACGGUGAGCUAUCAGCAGAGGCCAUUAAAUACUUGCCGGUAAUUCACAUGGCAAAAGUCUUAUUUUAUUUUCUAAAAAGAAACUAAAUCUUACUUUUUGGUUAAAUUAAAUACAAAUAUGAAAAAUACCCAAGUGAAACUCCAAUUUCUUCAUGAGAUUAUUAAACUCUUUGGUGAGUUGGUUGUGAAUUAGGUGUUUGUUUGUAGUCUAAUUUUUGCUUGUGAGAGUUUAAAAGUUGUAGUUGUACUAAUUGUUUUAGGCACUGCAGUUCAUGUCUGGCUUGUUCAUACUUGCUGCUUUUAUACCGAAAUUUCUUUGGUCUCAUGAGGGUAUUAGUGGAGAUACACAUUGUGCGCUUGAUGUUGCCAUUGUCUUUUUAUGUAUCUAGAUUAACCAUGCGUGGUUAUUAUGCUUCUAUCUUUAUAUUCCUUUAUGGGUAUUUAUAUUGGCCCUUGUGGUUUAUGGUCUUUGUGCUUAACUUAUGAAUACAAUUAUCGUUUUUCUCUUUUCUUUUUUCUUUUUUUAAAAAAACUCUCAUAAAAAAACACAUAAUCCACAAUAUAUGAAUUUAAAGCUAAUUAAUUUUGUAUAUAUGGAAGUAGAAGAAAAUGAUCGGAUGUAGAUGACAAUAAAAAAAGCUUAGGAGAGUACAAUUCAUCCAAUGUUUCAUGAAGUUAAUAUGGUAGCUGGCAAAAAAGGAACAAACCUUUGUACCCUAUUAAUUUGUAAUUACGAAAACAAAAUUUUCUCUUUGGGACUUGGGAGACUUGGGAGACUUGGGAGACUGGGAGACUUGGGAGUUGGGAGGAGGAGGAGGAGGAGGAGGAGGAGAGAGUUGGAUCUUUCUCUCAUGUUUCAUACACACCAUGAUUGUCGAAUAAUCAUAACUCAAACUCAAGACAAGUUCAUCUAGGUUUUAGUGAUAAUUAAUUGACUUGUAUAAGAACAUAGGGAUACGGUUAAUUCGCAAUAGACCAAAUAAACCAAUAAUUAAUCCCACUUAAACCCAUAAAACAACAAUUAAUUAUUACUUGGAGUUCUCUCUAUUUUUGUGGCUCAAAAGAAUGCACAUCUAGGAGACGAUGCUAAUUGACCUCUUUCUAACAUAAGGUUGGAAACCCGCACAAAUUGCAAAUAAGAAAAUGUUUGAAAGUUAGUGGUUUGAGAAAGCCAAACAUUUAAUUAAACAUUAAUAUUAUCAUUUGUUAUAUAUGUAGCUCACAGACUCAGACACAUGAUGUAUUUGUCGAAUCCCAUGUAGUCUUUGCUAAUUGUUUGUUAUCUAUGGUUUCAUACGGCUACUAAUUAAGCAUGGCAGAUUUCAAGAAAGCCACUACGUUGAGUUUUGUUUUUUGUUAUUAUUAUUUUUUAGAAUCCAAAUGCUAAAUAAAAUGCCCAUUUUCUUCUUAUGCAUCACUGGAUCUCAAACACACAAGUUCCAAAAUAUAUAUAGAAGGCACAAAUAAAGCUGGUAUGAGUUAGUUGUAGUUGUAUUUGUAAUUUUGGACACUGUAUUUCAUGUUUGAUUUGCUCAGGCAUGUGACUCUUACGUUAAAAUGUAUUUGGUCUUUCUAGGCUAUUAGUAAAGAUACAAGUCGUGUGAUGUAGCUGGUGCAUCCUCCUAUAUAUGGAUUAACCCUUUGCAAUUCAUGUGCAUCUUUGUAUUAACUCUUUAUGAGUAUUUGGUUUUUGCACCCAAUUAUUGAAUACAAUUAUCGCUAAUUUAUAUAUAUAUAUAUAUAUAUAUAAAGGCUGAUAUGAGUUUUGAUUUUUAUUUUGCAUGUUCCUAAGUUCAAGAUAUUUUAGGAAAGGUUUCACUUUCUCUUUACUCUCAUAAACACAAAUAUAGAUCUUUUUUGUUUUUUUUUUCCCAUGAAUUUGUUUUGGUUAUAUGUAUUAUAAUUUUUACAAAAAAAAAAUGUGUCUAUAUUGUUGAGACAAAGUUUGUGAUUGUUUUGCUUGGGUAGCUAAAUUCCCAAUGUUGUUGGCAUUCUUUAUUUUAUGUGCAUUCCAAUUUUGCCCGUAUUCAAUUAUAAAUAGUCAUUAGCACCCACUAAUUUUGUUUUUUGUUAAUGAUUGUAACAAUUAACGUUGCUAUCCAUCAUAAUUGGAAGAGAGUACUACAUCAAUACAAUUGUAAGCACUAGCAGCUGAGAAAUAAUCCAAAUUUGGUUAUGCAUCAAAGCGGCAAAUCAUUGCAAAUUGUCGAACUCACAUUCCAUUCUCAUGUUAAAAUAAACGUAUUGACAAUAGCCUAGCAUGGUUGUGAAGGCCCCAACUACCAAAUUAUUGGUGACAUCUAACAAAGAAAUCAAGACGAAAUUAAGAUUUAACGUGUUAAAUUCACGUACAUAAUUAUUGUCAUAUUAUAAAUCGUAAGUAAUAAUUAUAUAAUAUGAUCAAUGAACCAUAUCAUAUUUUAAAUGAAUAAUACUAACACUAUAUGUUAAAUCAUCAACAUAAAAGCUUUUGUACAAUUUAUCAAGUCGUAAGGAUAUCUAAUAAAUCUCCCUAUCUUAACUUUAUAGCCAAUUUGAGAAGGUUGUUGACAAACAUUGUUUAUCAACUAGCUGCUCAAAGAUUUCCUCAUUUUGGAUUUGGAGAAUGCUAUUUUUGACUCUCCAAAAUAAAAAGUGAGAAAAAAGAGCGUAACUACGUAGAGUUCUUAGAAUUUAUACGAGAUUGGCUGAAAUAGAAAAAAUUGUUCGGAUACUUGAAAAAUGAUUAUCCAAGAUAGUUUUCUAAUUAAUUCUGCUAAAACUACAGUUAAAAUCUAGAUGGAAGAACACAAACAACACAAAAAGAAAAAAACAAAUGCUAAAGAGUUGAAAACAAAAACAAAAACUCAAUUAGAAGAAAGACAGCAAUAUUUGCGUUCUGAUACCGAGUAUCAAUCAGCAUGGGAACCCUCACUGUAGUGUGACCAAAAUAAUUAAAAAGAAAUUAAAAUAAUAUCAAGUGCUUUUAAAUCAAGUGGACAAUUUUACGAAAGAAACAAGCAGGACGGCUUUGGUUGUCUGACACGUUGUUCGAGGACUGGUUAGGCAACGCCCCCCACAGUCAGCAUUGCAGUGAACCAACUUUAAAAGAUGGGCUGCCUGGCCCAUGCUCUCCUUCUUCUUUUCAGCCCAGUUGUGUGGUAGGUUAAAUUACUGUUCUACCCUUGUAUCCCCGAGUAAUGUUUCAUGUAUCAUAUUUACCGUACUUAUUUUUCAAAUAAGUAUUUUAGUUGGUCCACCUCUUUGAAAUUAUUUUUUAAAUAUUUUGUACUAGGUAAACUGCACCGAACUUUGAUACAAAAAUGUAGAACGAGCGCAUUCAAGUAAAUAAUGGAUGAGGAAACCAUAUGUGAUUAUUUUGGAAGGGGGAAGGGGAUUAUCAAUCAUUUUCUUCGUUAAGUGGGAGAGGUGAGAUGCAUGUAGAAUAUGAGGAAACAAAUUGUCACGAGUCUGACAGGUUUCAUAAAUAUGUAUGGUGUUAAUAAUGGCCUAACUUCUGAUAGAAAAUGACACUAUUCGUUUAUUGUAAUCACCUAAUAUUGUCAUGUUAUAAUAAAUAAAACUUAAAACAUGAACACUACUAACUAGAAAAUUAGGUUACGAAUGUCAAUGUCCACGAAAUUUUUUACUUGGUCAUUCUUGUAUUAUUAACCCACUGUCUGAGUGACAUCGGUAAUUAUUUAAAACAGACAACUAAGUAAGAAAUUAGAAUGUUCCCGUACUCUUUAAUUUGCUCACAUUGCAGGGCCGGUCCUGCGAAAACUUAAAUUAGAGCCCUCACAUAGUCUAAUAUGAAAAUACUAAAAAAAUAAAUUGUCAUAACUUAAUAUAAUAAAAUAAAUUUUUUUAUAACUAAAAUUCAUUAAUUAGUAUAUAAUAACAAUCAUAAAUCAGAUUCAUAAAUUUUUUAAAUAUUUUUAUUUGAUAAAGUUUAAUAUUAGUAUAUUCGGUAAAAAAAAAAAGAAAAAAAGGGUUCAAGAGAAAGAAGAAUGACGGGAAUUUCUUUUUUUGUUUUGUUUUGAGUGGAAGAAAGUACUUUUUUCUUUUUGUUUUUAGGGGAAAACUUAUGGGUAUGAUAUAUAAUGUUGUUAGUGUAGUUGGAUCUUCCCCUUAUUUUUUUUAAGUCGAACUUGGACCUUAUACCAAGGGAUGUAAACCAACUCAAUCAAAUACAAUUUUGUGUGAAAUUGUUGCACGCUGGAGUAUAUAUAGAGUUUUUAAAAAUAAUAUUAACUUAUAAUAUAAAGUAAAAAAAUUUCGAAUCCUCAAAAAUUAAAAACCAUAUACGAUGACACCACUUGCAUCAUGCCAGGGCUGCCCUGACAUUGAAUACCACCUCCUCCUCCUAUUGCCCUAAUAAAACCAUGCAUAUCCGUUUCAAAGCAUAUAACUAGUGGAGCAAAAGCACCAUCUUUAUGAUCCAACGUCCGACAUGUUACAUGCGUCAUCCUACUAAAUUCCUCAAUGUGAAUUAAAUGACCCAAACAUUUACUCCCAAUAAUUAAAUAUAAAAAAACAAAACGCUUUUGUUUCCCUGAAAUGAAAUUCUCAUCUACUUGGGCACCAAGCAACAAUGAUAUGUCGUCUGUACAACAGUCACCGGCUCCCUCCAAUCACAUCACGAAACGUGUCAACAUAACGAUUCAAAACCAAAACCGUCUUUCUGAAAUUCUGGUGGUGAGGUAGACAGAGAUAAAAAGGCUGGAGGGCAUGGCAUUGGCAUGCAUGGUUGAGGAGAUAAAAACACACUUAUAAAAAAUGGGCCUCACAGUCGAGGUUGCCUGCCACGUUACACUUAGCUGUAAAAAUAUACAAAAAGAUAAGGUUAAAAUUCAAAUGGUAAAAUUUAAAAUUGAAAAAACGCCAGUUUUGUGAUUUUUACUCCCAUAAUGACGAAAACAUCCCGGAGUGCUGAUUUCCGUAACGGAAGGUUAAGUAGUAAUUAUCGUCUACUCAGUGGGUAAUUAAUGUUAUUAAUUAAUCUUUUCUUCAGUCAAAGUAGAACCCCAUGUGUCUUCUCACGUGACCAGAAUCCCAAAUUCCAAGAUUAAAUUUUAAUUUUUUUCCUGCUGCUGAGUCAGCUCCGGGCCCCACACCUGAGCUUUCCCUUUCCUCCCCUCCCAUUGGAUCUCCAUUUCUUACCGGGCCCAACCCGCCACGUGUCACUCGCCCCCCUGCCCGAAUUAUGCGGCGCCUCGUAAAAUAUCUCGGAGCCUCGCCGGGCUCUCUCCCGGUGGGUCCUGGCUCCACCCCAUUCGUGUUUUAAAAUUUAAAAAAAAAAAAAAAUCUUUAAAGCAAAAUUCAACCAAAACAUAAAUUGUAAAUUGUAAAUUUUAUUUUUGGGAAAAAGAAAAAGAUUUUGGAAAUUUAAAGAUGGCUCUUAAACCGGGUUUGCCGAUUACGGCUGUUGGGAUCCUAUAAAGUAGGUAGUUUUGGUAUCCAGCGGAACUGUGCUUCUUUCUCUCUGCGCCUAUUAUCUCUCUCUACCUCCUCACUCUCACUCCACACUCUCUCUCUCUAGCUCCCUCAUUUCUCACUAAACCCACCACCACUCUCAGAGACUCUCAGUUUUUGCUUCUUGCUUUUAAAGGCCCGAUUCCGAUUCCCUUUCCCUUUCCGGUUAAAGCUUUGCUCCACUCACCCCCCCAUCCCUCCUUUUGGCUUUCAAAGCUUCGCUUUUUUUCCCCUUCAAAAAUUUGCCAUUCUUUUUUCCGUACCAUUUGCCAAGGUCCAGAGCUCCACGCUCGCUCUCUCCACUUUUUUCUUCUUUCGGGCGAAACUUUCCGUGAAAUUUCUCGUCCUUUGAUGACACUUUUUUAGGUGAUUUCUCUCCGUUUCAAGCACAAGCAGCUUCUCUGUCACGCUUCUUCCUUCUCUCUGUGUCUUUCUCUCUUUCUCUCUUUUUCUCUCUCUUUAUUCUCUUCACCUCGUGUGCUCUGCGAGAAUCUCCCUUUUUUUUCCUUUCUUCUUCUUCAGCAGCCUCUAUUUUUAGCUCCCGUCACUCAUCUCGCUUUCAAUGCGAAUCAGCUGCUGGAAGACUCUCACAUUCUAAUUUGCUUUGUUACUUGAAACUAUGAAUCCGGCUGUUAAGUACACGCAGCACCGCAGCCACACGAAGAUGGUGGCGAAUUCGGCAGCUGAGUUUGAGUCGGUGAGGCCCAGAGUUGUACGGAUAUGGGUCACCGACGGAGAUGCCACCGACUCAUCCAGCGACGACGAACCCCCCGAGUCGUCGUUCUGCGGGCGCCGCCGAGUCAAGAGGUUCAUCAACGAGAUUACUAUCGAGUCCUGCUCCAGAGAGACUGACGCUGUUUGGAGGAGCCGGACGACGAGGACCGGACGGAAGAGAGCCUCCCCGAAGUCCGGAGGGCCGGCGAGUGGUCGUACGUUAAAGGCGGUAGCUGCUGCUCCCGCCGGGAAGAAGUUCCGAGGCGUGAGGCAGAGGCCCUGGGGAAAAUGGGCUGCGGAGAUUAGAGAUCCUCUGCGACGUGUACGGCUCUGGUUGGGCACUUACGACACGGCGGAGGAAGCCGCCAUGGUGUACGACAACGCCGCUAUUCAGCUUCGUGGGCCUGACGCGCUCACCAACUUCGCUGCUCCUCCGGCGAAGUCCUUGCCAGACGUGAAGCCGGUUAUUAGCUCCUGCUACAAUUCCGGCGACGAGUCUCACAACAAUCUUUGCUCCCCGACCUCCGUGUUGCGGUGUCCAUCACCUUCGAACGAAGAAGCCGACUCGCCGAGUUUCAAAGAGGAGGUUCCGGACAUCGCCGAAUUCCGAAAUGUCCGGGACGACUCUUGUGUAUCGGAGAACUUCUCCGAGUUUUCGGAAUACACGAGUUUCGAAUCGUUUAUUCCGGACGACAUUUUUGAUUUUCAGACACCUGACUUCUUGGAAGAAACGAGUCUACGAGACGUUGGUAUUUUGAAAGAAGAUUUCGGCGAUUUAGGAAAUUUCGGCAACAUUUUUGUUGAUUCAGUUCGGGAUUUCGGGUUCGGUUCCUCUGCGUGGUGCCUGGAUGACCACUUCCAGGACAUCGGCGAUCUUUUCAGUUCGGAUCCUCUGGUUGCGCUUUAGGACGAGUUCGUUUAGGUGACAAAUGACAGUUCGACGUCGUUCCGGUGACAAAGGACAGUUCGAAGUCGUUCCGGUGACAAAGGACCGUUCCCGUUCGUGUUUUGCCUGUUUGACGGCGAGUUUUGUAUCGGCGGGAAAGAAAAUCGGAAUGUGUUUUUUUCUAUUUUUAAUUUAAUUUAAUUUAAUUAAAAAUUUUUUUUAUUAUCAGUUUUGGUUGUAAUUGUUUAUUUAUUAACGUUGAAUGAACAAGAGUUUUGCUACGGUACGGUGCUCUGUUCUUUUUGGGUUUAUCUUCUAAACCCACGUGGCCCGUGACUAACAUACAAGGUAAAAAUCGAUUUAUUAAAAUAAACUUUACCAACCGUCCCAUAAUAUUUUUGCAAACACGUGGAGCAGCACACAUGCUGUGUUUAUAAAUUGAAUUGUAAAAUGAAAAGGUGAUUUUAUUUUGAAUCAGGAUUAUAAGAUUGGCCCGAAUCUAGUAAAAUUCUGACUAGUUCUAGUUCUGGUUGUAAGAUAUAAAUUACAAUCAAUUUGGUGUUGAUUUAUUUUAUAUAGCUAGCAGUGCACUCACUUCCGGUUCACUGAAAUGGUGGGGGGCAAAUAGGUGAAACUGACAAAUGAUGCUAUUUGUACCUAACGUUUUGAAGUUGGCAAAGAUUGCAUUGGUUCAUUUAUUGUAAACUCUCAUUAAUAUCGUUUGGUAUAGCUAUUUAUUCAUGUCAUUGACUAAUAACAUAUGACAAAAUUCUCUUUCUCCGCUACCUAAUUUUUUGGCAUUACACCUUAUGAUGGACAUGACUGUAAUUUCUCAUUGUUUCUAAUUUUAAAGGUAUUUGAAGAAAUCAAAUUAUUUUCUUAAACGUUAGCAUGUAAUUUCAAGCACUGAAGUAUCUUGAUAAAGCGGAUAUUAUACGCACAAACGCAAAAAUGAGUCUCUUUUUUAAAAGUAUAAGUACAAUAUGUACACGAAACAUAAUCAAGGUAUCAUGAUUUUGUGUUUGUUUCAGAUUCAUGGGCAGACUUUUGAUGCCCAUUUGGUGGAGUAAGAUUCUGUAGCGCAAUAUUCCAACUAAGGAUGAAGGAUUUAAACCCUUUUUUAGCUCUAAAAAGGGAUUUUUGGAUAAUGAACAAAUGACAAAUGUAAUUAUCAUUAGUAGAUUAAGUAAUGGUCUAAUCGUGAUCAACCCAAUAAUUACAAUAAAAUUAAAGGAAAAAAAGGUGCUCAAAAAAUGGGAGGAGAGAGUGGGAAAUCCGACUAGGUGUUUAUAUUCAAAUGAGACGUGGCACGUUGUGAUGGAAUUAGGGAUGUGGAAAUCCAUGCUCAUCAUGGUGGCAGUGUUAUGGCUGUUUUGGCUGGAGGACUUGGUAUUUGUAUAUUACAAAUUGUGAUCCAGAUAGUGGCUUUUCAUGCAUCUCUUGGGGGCUUUGGUUUGCACACACGUAGAUAGAUACAUGUAUAUGUAUAUAUAAUUUGAUUUGGUACAUUACAUCAUAUAGAGUGGCCAAUUUGGGGUCCGAGACCAAAAAAUAGAUUUCUGGUCAAUCACGAAUUUACAGGUACAUCACAAAUGAUAACAUUUUCACUUGACAUAUUGAAAUUCACCAAAAAUAGUAAAUUAAUAUUAUCCUCAUUUCAGACAUGUUUUUCUGCUCCAAUUGAGCUCUCUCACUUGUGUGUUUUGUCUGCUGGUAAAAUUUAGAAAGAAAAAAAGAGAGCAUCUUCUAGGGGAUAGAAAGAAAAGGGAAAAAGAGAGUAAAGGAGCACAUAACAGGAAAAGGUCAUGUUUGACUAUCUAAUUCUAAAGCAUGAGUUGGGAGCUUCAUAUACCCAUCAUAGUUUGACUUUGGAGAGUAUCUCAAGAUUAAAAAUAUCUCUUUGUUAAUUUUAUUUAUUAUAUGAUAUAUGUUAAGCAUUGACUAUUCGAAAUUGUUUUUUACAUGACAUAUUAUGUUGUUAGACUGUUAAUCGAAAUUGUUCGAAGUAUAAGUUCGAAUUAAUAGUCACUGAACUCUUUAUAUUUACCAUAGUUGUUAAAAAACCAUACAAAUUUUUUUAUUUUUUGGGUGACAAAAGGGAGUGAGGGCUAGAUCAAUGGUCAUGGUUGGAUAAAAAGCAAUCCAGUGGUCCAUGAGAUUGUCCAGAAUGCCACCAUAUAUUUUGCCACAUUUGUGGCUCACAGUACAGACCCAACUGCAGCUAGCAGCAGCUGAAAACUCACUCUGGCUGGCUAACACUAAGAUGCCCCAAUCCACAAAAGCCAAAAGUAUGCUAGCUUAUUCCUCAAACAAGAGCCAAAAUAUUUAUUAAAUAGGUUUUGGCCACACUGAAAAUAAACCUGAGCACACCCUGCCCUCGUUGGCUUGCUUACCUAAUAUAACAUUGACAAAUAUACCCUGAGAGACCCAAUGUGUCUUUUUCUUUGUUUUCUUUUCACCCUGCCUGCCAAUCUAUUUGGAUUUUUUCGCAUUUCGAAGGCCCUUUUUAUUUUAUGGGUUUUCUUUUCUAGCUAUAUAUACACAACUUUUGUGACAAAUUCUAUAUUUAUGAGGGAGAGAGUACUGAGGUGUCACUUUCUGGUAGAUCAUGGAGUUUAAGUGUUGCAAAUGCAAAGCUUUUGUACUAAUGGAGUGAAAUAAGAUUUUACUGAGUAGGUCUCUAUGUCCUGUGGCAAGGUUCAGUGUCAGAGCGAGGAAUUGAUUUUAGAAGAAAUUUCUUGUAAAAUAUAAAAAUAAAGAGAAUAAAAGCAUAAAGUUUUUGAGUUCUCGUAAAGCUUUUUGGGCGUUAUUUUCAGCCUCCUGUUAGGAUACUCAAGGACUUGUUAGCCCAAUUAAAGCCUUAGUUAGGGACAACAUAAUCCAAUUCCUUCUUGUAUUUAAACUUGGGUCCCUACAAUCAUAUGCAUCUUAUGAAUAUGAACAUUAAUUAUGCAACUUCUUUGGUUUAACGUAGAACUUGAUAACAUUAAUAUUUCACAUAAUUUAAAAUAUUAUCAUUGCUAUUGUGUAUUUUGAGUUAUAGGCACAACUAAGAUCAAAACAACAACUAGCAAAAAAAUUAAUCUCAGUUGAAUCAUCCUAGUCUUAUAAUCAUCAACAAAGAUGAUCUCUAAACCAACAUUAGGAUCGCCACGAAGAUGGCGCUAUGGCGCAACUACACACGACAAAAUGCCAUUCUUCUCUUAUUAGGGGGUUACCUUGUGCAAUUAACUUCUAAUUCUGCAAAUCCAGCAAACUAUAGCUAGCCAGCAGUUGCCUGGUUGAAAAGCUUCAAUCUUUGGAGUUCAAAGUUUGCAUUUAAUAGCUUUACUCACAUUGAAUUGAGACAAAAUCGUACAUGUUUCUGGAUUUCAAGUUUCAACUACAGUCAGGUACACAUUAAAAUAUAAAUGCAUGAACCAACCAACCAAACCAAAUGCAGAAUGCCAAACCAAAAUCAAAAUAUCACCCACCAUGGUCCAUACCAAAUUCAUUUCAUCAUCAACCCCUGAACCUGAAAAUUUGUACCUCAAACCAAACCAUCCUUUUUUUUAUUUACAAUUUUUGUUUUUAAUAAUUUGGGUUUUCUCCAAAUUUUUUAAAAUACCCUUGUGACUUGUUUUUAGGGUCAGCUAGCUACCCCUCACCUCAAGCUUUGUCUGACUCUGGGCUAGGCCGCCUCUGCCCCCUCUGUCUGAACACUCAAAAAUAUAAGGAGAGGUCACAAGACACAAAACACAUGCUAAAACCCAGCCCCACACAAAAUUAAUUUUUCUUUCAUGCGUGAGAGAGAGAGAGAGAGAGACAGAGGGGCGCAAAUAAAUCUUCUUCUUCAAGCAUAAAGCUCCAAACUUUUGCAGAUUCACUGAGGGCAACCACAGCCCCCUAGAAGAUCUUCUUUGUUUCCCACCUCCAUACGAUCAAUCAGGGCCGUACACGUCAUGUCAGGCUAACGGUUUUGAGCCAUCACCUCGAGCAGCGCAGCGCAAGCGUUGUUGCAACUGGCCUUUUCGCCUUUGCCUUGGGCCCCAUUGCCCCUCCUGGUCCCCCUCCAGCUCAGACUUCACUGUGUCUCUGCCCGCUGAUUGCGAUUGCGGCCCCACCAGCUCUCAUUUUGUUGACGUGGCCGUGGAUUUUCGAUGAGGGUAAAGAUUUAGAUUUUGGGCUCACGCUUCAUGACAAAGGCCCACCAAGUUAUGGGCUUUUGUGGCCCAUUUGUGAUGUGAGGCUAAGAUUUGCCAUGGCAUGGGAUGAGAUUUGGUAGAGCUUUCUUUUCUCCGCGUCUAUAGUUUUAUGGGAUUUGUGGUUCUAAAAUCAAGCCAUGCUUUUUGGUCAUAUUCAAAGAUCAAUAGCAAAUCCAAAAAUAUCUCCUCUCUUUUUGUCUUUUGUUAGUUAUAUGAUGGACAAGAUGUUUGGAUGUUGCAAUGGUAAGCAUUUUUUGUUUAUUUGUUAAAUUUUGGGGGACUGCCAUGUCAUGGUUGCGCUUGUGGGAGCUAACUCCGUGAGUUCGAUGCUGGAUAGUUCACUCAAAUUUUUUUCAAAAUUAGGGUUCGUAGUGUUUUUCUAACUAUUCUCUUUAAUUAAGGAGGAAGGGGGAUUUAAAUUUAGGAGCUAUGGAUCUUUCGUCUCCCAAUCAAGUCGCCCUACUAGCAAGGGCGAAACUAUAAAUUUUUUGAAGGGUGGGCUAGUAACAAAUUUUUAGCUUAAAAUCUAAUGAUAUUUUUUAAUAUAACCACACUAGUUCAUAGUCCUAUAAACUAAUUUCCAAUAAGUUGAGCAUAUAACAAAUACAGAUUAAAUGCAACGAAAGGGUUAACACAAGAACAAUGAAAAAAUAGCCAAGAAGACCACAAAACAGACGUUGGAAAAAUAAUAUUCCCUAUUCAUAGAAAUAGUAGAGAAACUGCCAAGAAGACUACAAAAUGAGAGUCUUAACCACAAGUGAGAACGACAAGUUGAUAGGUUAUAUAGGUUUAAUUUUGUUUUUCUUUAAAAACAACAUGGGCUGUACUGUAAUAGGGUUUCUUUCAAAUAAAAAUCUUCAAAAAGCUACUUGGCCUACAGCAUAGGGUAGCCUUAUAGGUAGUUCUAUCCCUGCCUACUAGGUGUUGGCAGUGUUGCUUGUGGGUAUGAUGUGCCUCUAAGUCUGUAACUAAUGUGAGAGGGAGGCUGUCCCCCAAUCUAAAUUUAUAGCUUCCCAUUCCGUCCAAUCUUAUAACCAAAAAAUAUCCACACAAUAUGUGCAUCGUAGUAAUUGCCGAAAUUAAAAUCUGAGGUUCUAUUUAUGCCAAGUCAUGCAAUGUGUGUGGAAAAUUAGGCAGGUCGGGUCAAAUGGGUAUCAAGUUGAGAGAGCAAUCACCCGACAGCAAAAGUGAUGAUGCAGAAUAUUGAGUGAGAUUUCCUCUGUGGGUCUCCCUUUGGAUACGCAUCUACAUACAUGCAGGCAUUGAUAUCUCAUGAUUUCUGCUGCUUCAUAUUCAAUAUAAAACCCCACACUCCAUCAUGCACUUCAUGUGCCUUUCUUUAUCCAAAUGUUUUUUUUUUCCUAGUUAUUUUUUCUUCUUUCAUUUUGGACCUCACAUAUUUUGGUUUAUCCCGAAUUGGCUGUGUCUUGAAGAGUGCCAGUUCCAUGCCCCUGGGCUUUUUCUUUGGGCUCAUAGUUGGACUCUACUUGUUUUACACCACUAUGGAAGCCCAAUUACAAAUAAUUUUCUUGCCUUUGUAGCUGGACUUUGGCAGAAACCAUAAUUCCAAACCAAAAAAUUAAGGGGAAGAAAGAAGACGAGUAAGUAUAAGGAUCAUGCAAUUGUGUUGACCGUUAUUUGGUAUAUUGUACUGAAUUUAUUAAAUUGGAUAACAGUCCAACAUACUAUGUUUUAUAACUUCAAUCUCUUCUAGAGGGGUGAGAUUCUCAAGAACUGGUUUGAACUAAACUUUAAUUUAGUUCAAAUCAAAUCAUGAAACGAUAACAUUUUAAAAAAUAUGAUAGAGACAAUCAGGGUUGUGUGUAUUUACAACAAUAACUCUGGGUUUUUAAAAAAUUAUUAGAAUUAUUUACUGUAACUUCAAUACAGUACUUCCCAAAUAAUCAUCUCUUAAACAUGGUAGAUAUAACUCAAUAUAAUUACAUGAUAUAUGUAGGGAUUCUUUAGAUGAAAAGAGAGAAGAAGAUGGUUAACAAGCCAGAAGCCAUGCCAGCACUUUGGAUGGCGGUGGCUGAUGACUUAGCAGGUGCGGGUGCUGCAUCCAAGGCUGAUGACUUAGCAGGGGCGGCAGCGGCGGUAUCAGGCGCGGCGGCGGUCUUGGUAUCUUUGGAAACGAGCUUGAAUGGGAAAACUUUGCCAGAUGAGCCCUUCUGGUUGACAACCUUGACGUAGAGCUUUUGGCCAGCCUCGCAGUGCUUGCCAACGCCGCUGUAGUAGUAGUUGUCUCCUGUGGUUGUGAAUUUGAUGAUGGUUGGCCCAUUGUAGUACAUGUAGAUCACAUUUUUCUGAGUGCAUCUAUCAAAGUCUUCCUUGUUGACCACUACCACGUUGCCGGAGCCAGGUCUGUAUGGGAAAACUGAAAUUUGGACCACGCAUUCAGACAAAUUAAUAAACAUCAUUAAAGAAAAACAUGGGAAAAAAGGCAAUGAAUUACACUUACCAAGUCUAUCACCAACACCAAAGGUUCUUGGAAAAGCCCAGUCCUGAAAGAAAGUUUUGUUGGGAGGAGUAGUCCAGCCAGCACUUCCUCCAACAAUGUGAUCCAUUGCAGACACUGAUCCCAUCCAGAAACAGCCUAUUGCUGCCAACAUGAACACUGCAAGCUGAAUCGUCCCCAUUUUCUUGCUUCCCUGCCUUCUACCUAUUGAUUUUUUUUGUUUUUUUUUUACUUUAGUGAGCCGCCUGUGUGUUGAAGGAGGGGAUCACCGUAAUAAUAAGAGGUAAAAAAAACUUAAUUGUAAUAUAUGUCUGUGUGCCUUCAACACCAGACGGCUAAAAGAACAGUGAAAUGGGUGCCUUCUAUUAAAAGUGUUUGGAGGUGCUAGCUUGUAUGAUAUUGCAUGGAAAAUGCUUGGUAUUUUAAGGUUUUGGAAAAGGUCAACCGUUAAUACGGUUACAAAUAUGAGAUGGGGAUUUGGCCUAUUUUCAGAGGAGAAGAGUGUUUUUAGCUCUCAAAUUAACCAUCUGUAUGCAGUGUUGUAUCUAAUUGUGGUAAAAAUAUCAACUACCUAAUUGAAGAAUCAGGUGUCUUGUUCAGCCUUAAUAAGCAAUUUGCUAAUUAAUAAACAAUUUACAGGGGUUUAAGGCCUCAAAAUCGAGUAACAGUAUUUGGUUGUUUGUGAUUCAAAUGUACUGUUGACAUAUUUGAAACGAAAUCAUCAUUUUCAGGUACUUCAGAUUGACAUUAAUCUAUUAUGACGAUAUUGUCAGUUAUUACUCUUGUCAAUCAUGAGCAUGUUAAUUUUAUCAAGAUGACUUCCAGCCGUUGAUGCAUAUAAAACAAUACAGUAACAAAUUGAAAUAAGAGUUACCAGCAUUACAUGCAUCACUGGCUUAGAAUCACUCACUUAUAGGCAGGAACUGCCUUUAACAUUACCACCACAUGUUACAAUUGACAAACUCUUCAAGGUAGGCAAUACUCAUUAGUCUACCAAGAUUCGACACCUAACUUAAUAAAACAUGGCUGAGUUAGACAGUUAGACCCGUAUCAUUUCGGUAACCACAUAUGCUUGCCCUAUUGAAAGUAUUAUUUCUUAAACAUGUUUUGUAUAUUUUGAGAUGUUUUCGUUAUCGGAAAGAAAAAUAUCAUGGUUAAGAUCUACUUGGUAUAUGUUAUGUUUUAUCUACCUAAGUGCAAAUGUUUUCAAGAGUGUCACAUGUUUAUGUCUCAACAAUACACAUGUUUACUUUCAUCUUGGACAUGCUUGUCAUUGCAACAUGAUUUGGAUUUCAAAUUUUCCAUAUUCAGUAUUUGGUUUGAUUGUAGGGUGUGUUGUUGGAUGUAACAAAUGUAUCUUUUUUAUUUGCAUAAUAUUUUUCACUUUGGUAGUGAGGGAAAAUAGCGUUUUCGUGUUGCUACAACCCACAUUUGAAGCAUAAAGUUCUGUCAUUAGUCAUAGCCACAAUUUUGAUUUUAGAGAAUUUUUUCCAAUAUAGUGAAGGAAAAUAUCACUGAAUCAAUAAUUAAAUUUAUAAGACAAUACUUUCGUAACUAGUAAUAAAUAUUUAUAACCCUAAAAUAAAAGUAAAAAAAUCAUGAUAAUGAGCUGUAAUAGGUAUAAACAGAAAAGUAAUACAGCCUAUGUAGCACAUACACUCCAUCAAGCUGAAGUGUCUGAGUGUCUGAGUGUCCGACACGCAGACAUGCCUCGAACACCCCUCAACGGUCAAGAUGCGUUUUGAACACGGUGAACUGAAGUCAAGAAAGGCAGGGACCAUUUUGGAAAUUUUGAAACAAAAACUGGGGUCACAACAAAUUAUUGAAACAGUUGUGGGCAUAUUUGAAAUAGUUUUAAAAAGUGGGUUUUUCUUCUCUCCUAGCCAGCUGCAUUUUUCAUUGAAAAAAACCCAGCUUUUCUUCUCUCCCUCUCCACAUAUUCUUUCUUCUCAUCUUAUUUUAAAUUACUUGAAGUUGAAACAUCAAUAAAUGCUUACAAACUGCUAUAGGUGAAGGCGAGGGACUAAUUUUUUAUUAUUUAUUUUCUCAGUUUUAUCAGAUUUCUGGCGUCAAUUUUUUGUUUAAAUAUUAUUUUUUUUCUUUGUUCCUUUGUAGGAGAGCUGAUAUUUUUGACUAACUAAAGAUAUUUGAUAACAAUUUGGUCGUGAGAGAAGCAUCUUUUUGAGUGGGGUACUUCAUUCACUUUGUUUCUUUUUUCUUUUUCUUUUUUUUAUUAUUUAUUUAUGCUAAGUCAAUUUUUAUUUUAUGAGGUGGGAAAUCGUUUUAUGUGUGAAUAAACAUGUAUAUAGUGCUUUAUUUUACUUAGGGAAAGAUGAGUAAUGCUAAUUCAAAUAAGGCCUCUUUUCAUGCUCAAUCAUAUUUUGGAGUACAUUAAUUAUUAUGUAUAAAUGAUGAAUAUGAAUAUUUUAUUUUGUUUUAUUGUAUUAUGACAUUAAAGUAUUGAGUAUGAAUUUUUUUUUUUUUUAAUAUAAGUAUAUAUUAUUAUAAUUUUAUUAUGAUUUAUUUUUAUUUUAAGUGUCGUGUCCCUAUAUCCGUAUUCGUGUCUUAAUUUUUAAAAUUUUUCCGUGUUGCCGUGUUGCGUUUUUAUGUCCCUGUAUCCAUAUCCGUGCAACAUAAAGUACAGCCUACCCGAUCAAAAAAGAAAAGAAAAGCAAAGUAGUACUGUACAGCCUAAUUACCAAAAAUCUAGUCAUACAAUUUUCCCGACUCAUUUGGAAAAUGAAAAUGCUCCCGCGAGAUCAUUCCCAUCGAACUACUAAGGAAACGGUGUCGUUUACUACAAAAGAAGGGAAACAAGGGAAACGCGGGUCAGAGGACCGACAUUGACUAACUUAUGCGCCAAGGCGGGACUGCCAAUUUUUCUCGCUUUUUUUUUUUCCUCGAGAACCAAACAAUCAAAGGAAAAAAACUAGCAAAGAGACUCUGCAAGGGUUUAAUUGGAACUCUAAAACCCUAAACCUUGAAAAGGCUACAGAGAGAGAGCAAUGGAGGACGGUCGUGGUAAGGCGGUGUGCGGUCAGGAGGCUCUGGAUCUGCUAAACUGCGUCACCCAAUCUCCUUUCGAUCAAGAAAAAUGCGUCCGCCUCUUGAAUUCCUUGCGGGAAUGCGUGCUCAACAAGGUCACCCACUCCCUCUUUCUCUCUCAAUCACAUUCUUUUUCUUAUUUCCUCUCUCUAUUUUGAAUUGUUAUGUAAAUUUGUUGCAUAAUUUGUCUCUAAUUGGUUUUUUGAUUUUGUUUUUGUAAUUGAUCAAAUUAGUCACUCAUAAUUGAGAAUGCCUUUAGGGUUGGAUUGCCAAAUCAGUAUUUCUCUUUUCCCAUUGAUUGAGUGAAUAGGUUAUAUGAUUGUGGAUUCUUUUUACUUAGGUCCUGUUGGGUAAAAUUGAUUGAAAAAAGGGCUAAGAUGGAAACCCAGAUUGCACAAUAUUUAUGCCUCUUUUUUCUAGGGAAGCAUGAAGCUUGUUUAUGUUCAAAGACAAAAUCCUAUCACAAUAUUCCGCUUAAAACCAGUUUAUAAUGCAUGCUUGAACUAAUUAAACUGCUUCAUGGUCCUGGUUUGUUUAUUGUCUAAUGAAAUAACUAGCAUAGCCUAAGCUGACUGAUGACUGGGACUCUGACUCUUCCAGGCAGUUUCUUUUCCAAUUAUUUGUAGUGUUGAUGGGAUCUAAUCUUAGGGAAGCCAUUUAAUUUCGGGAAGGCGUUUUUAUGCAACUGGAGUUUUUUAAAGUCUUGAACUUGACACCAAUGUUUCCUCAAGUCAAUUCAUUUUUUCUCCUUCUAAUGAAGUUCUAUGACAUUGAAGAUGAGGGAAUUGAAUUCAAGUAGCCAUGAAAAAGGGCAAUUAGCUUCCCGAUUUCUUUUGGGUUUUCAAGUUAUGCCAAAUGCUGUUGAGAAAUCAAGCCUAUAGAUGCUCUUUUAGUCUUUCACAAAUAUUAAACAGCUCCAAAGUCAAUAUUAACCAUAGAAAUUGUGAUUCCUUUCAAGCUGUUCAUUGUGUAACGUUUUUACAAUCUUGAUAGUUGAGUUGCUAUGAGCUUAUUAGGCCAGUGGCCUUACCUAGAUGUAUCGUUCUAAUUUCUGAAGGUAAAUUUGUGUUUGCAUAUGCAAACACUCACAUGUUUCUUUUUUCCUAACAGAAAGUGAAGAAGUUUUCACUAGCUGACCAGGAACAGAAGGAUGCAAAGCCAAUUGACAAGAAAGCUUGAUUGCAUUCGGUAUUGAUAGGAUUGCUAGGCCUGAGGUCUUUUCUCAUGUCAACGACUCUUUCUUUCCCCUCGUCCAUUUUUAUGUUCGACAAUUGUUGAGGUCAUAUUAUCACGUAACUGAUGGUUGUGUAUCUGAGAUCAGAAACCCUCAUGCCAUUGAUGUUUGCAAAAUGUUAUAUUGAUCUGGAUCUUCAGGGCAUUUCAUUUGGGAGUUUAGACGGAUGGCGCCCCUUUUUGUAGUAUUUGAAACUCCCAUUUAUUAUUAUGUUAAAUUUUAUUCAAGAGGGUCAAAUCUUUUCAUUGUAAUAGUUAUAUUAAUAGAGGAAUGCCAACAGCUUCACUGCUAAUUUCAUCUGAUGUUAGGCCAUAUUAUCUCAUCCGGAAAAUCAAUCCUAACUUUCUUCUCGCAGUAAAUCAAACCUUUCCUUCCUCUUCUACUUUUGUGCUUCAUGUCGUUCGGUAAACGGAUUUGAAAUUGAGAAUAUGAAUAUGGAAAUGCAGCCGCAAUUCCUUGACCAAGGGCACUAGAGCUAGGAACUUUAUGAAGCCCUGAUUGCAAGCAUGGGUUUUGAAAGAACAGAGCCAUGGAAGCGAUGCUCCAUAUAAGAAAUGGUAAAUAUGAAUGUGAAUUAGACCAACAUGCAACAGAGUGAUGACACUAGCAUCAGCCACCAAAGCCCCAACAACAGCAAUUUGUCAAAGUAAAGAAUGCUACAUGCAAUGUAAUCCACAACCCUGAUCAGGCAUCAUCGGCCCAAGUCUUAGACUAAACAAACACUCCUAACCCUGAUUCCAUCCGUUCCCUCCGUCGUCAUGAGCUGAGUUUAGAAUACAGGAACGUCGGCACUGUGGAUGAGGUAUGUGAGCACGAGGGCCAGCAACAUUAGCACGCACGCAAUCCCUUGGUCAAGGGUUGUCCCUGAAAAUAAGAUGUGAGAAAAUCCCAGUUCACAGAAGAUAUAAUCAAAUAGAUGCGACAAAUGCAAUCACAUUUCCAAGACCCCAUAAAAGAUUUCAACCUAAAGAAGCCUCAUAUAAACGCAAAGAACCAAAUGGGUUCACCUAGAUGGAUCCCCUUUUGCAAUAUGUUACAAUGUAAGGCACACAUUCUUUCUCUAUUUGACUCUUGUUUAUCUAAAGAAACAAACAAAUUUUUUUUAAUUUUAAAAAAAAGGCAUGAUCUCAUGAACCAAAACCAUGAAAUUUGAGAUCCAAAGGAGCUUAAACUAAACUAAACUAACCAUCGGUGCCGCUGUGACUGGGAGCCGGGGCGGGACCCGGAGGCAGAGGUGUUGCCUGAACAGCAGAGAUGGCAAUAGCAAAAACGAGAGCAGCAACAGCCACAACACCUAAAGGCCUGGGAAGAACGGCCAUUGUUGUUGCUCUCUCUCUCUCUCCCCCUCUCGGAGACCCUGCAACAAAAUGCAAAUGGCUGCUCCCGAGAGGCCCCCUCGGAGAAAGAGAGAGUGACACAAAUAAUGAGGGGGUAGAGAGAAGAAACCCAAAGAGCCAAACGCUUCUGAGACCAAUGGCGCUUAUUGUAGGCAAAAAGAGAGAGAAAAUGGUGAGAGGAAGAGGCUUUCUGUUAUUGUGUUACAAUUUUGGGCAAGGCCCAGAGACAAAGCCGGUAAUGCCGCUAGCAUCGUGGGGGUGGGGUCCACUGUCCAUGCGCCUGUUUCGGUGAUUGUCUGAGUGAGAGAGAGCCUCUGAGUUCUUCUGCCUGCCCAUCCCCCAUCCCCAUGUAACGUACAGAACCUCAGCCAGGGAAAUUUUUUAAAUUUUUGCCAAUUUUUUUUCUUCUCACCAUUUAAAAUAAUUUUCUUGGAAAUUUUCUGAAACCAUUUAAAAGUAUAACUGUUGAAUAGUGCUCGUACUUCGGUAAGUCCUACGAGAAUUAUAAGUCAUUUUAUUUCAAAUUUUGAAUAUAUGUAAUCACUCACAAGUCACACGUAUUGGUAAACUUGAAUAUUAAAUCAUCGUACACCAAGAACGGAUUCAGAAUUUCAAAAUGAAACGGGUUAAAUUUACUUUACGUACAAAACUUAAUUGCAAAUCCCUAAUUGAUAAUUCAUAACAUUGAAUUGAAAAUUCCUAAUUGAUAAUUCAUAACAUUGAAUUGAAAAUCCCUAAUUUAUACUUCUUGAUCUUAAAAAAAUCCCCAAAUUUUAGUAACAAUAAAUUGAGGAAAGAAAACUGUAGGAUUCCACCAAUAAAAUAAUUUUUUUUGCUAACAUUCAACCAAUAAAAUAUGACACACCAAGAAAAUUGAAUAUGUUAAAGGGUUGAUGCGUGAUGUGGGGAAGGCUGUAGGGUGGGCUACAUGUGACUUUGGGCUGGAAAAUAAUAAAAGCCACUUGGGCUAUAGCCCCAGGUUAACCUGUGGUUUGGUCCGUCCCUGUCGUUGACGUUAUUUAUCAUUAUGUUCAUUGAUUUUUGAGUAUUUAGUUAUGUGUGUGUGUUUGGAUGCAUGAUUCAUUUUCUAAUAGUGCAUUCAGCUAAGACUCUAUCUACCUAAUGAGUUUGGGAGGUGAUACAAAAGUUGUAGACGUUGAUGCUUUUGGUCAUGGAUAAUAGAAAGUAUAAAGAUUAAUCUAGCAAAUAAUUAUUGGACAACAAUAGUUUGUGAAACCUUUUCAUUGUAAAAGAUGCAAUGGUUCUCAUGCAUUCUUUUGCUUUAAAACUUCUUGGUGAUGUUAAGAGAGAAAAAGGGCCAUGGAAAAUGACUGUGCUGUAAACUGUUUUUUUUUGCAAACUGCAUCACGUCUGUAAAUUUGUUUAAUUUACAAGUGGUUUCGGAUUCAUGAGAUUUUUUGUAGAGAUGAUUUUUGAGGGAAUAUCUAAAAAUUAGACAGUUCGAAUCAUUAAAAAACAAUGUGUAAUAGCCUACAAGUAUUUGAGGGAUCCCUCAAUUGAAACUCACAAUGCUAAAAAAAAUCUGACCUAGUGGCUGAUCUGUAUUGCUGGAUAUAAUGGAAUUCAAUUUUGACUUCAAACACCCUAAAAGGCAAUCUCCCUGUCAAAUUAAACUCUUGACCUUUACCAAGUUGGCCCUCUAUCUCUAUGCUACUAGACCUGGAAAGAGUCCUCACACAACCAUUCAAUGAUGAUCAAGUGUGGGUAUGUUGCUUAAUGAUAAGAACACCAAAAUUAGUUUUAUUUUAUUUUUGAUGAAUUAAUAUAAUAGUGAACCUGUCAUAGUUAUGCAUCAUCUGGUGGAUAAACAUCUAAUUAAUCUCUCAUCCAUCCAACCAUAAAUGAAGCUCAACGGCAACUAAAAUCACCACACAUCCAUGUCAUCCAUCUGCCUUCAUUUCAAACAUAAUAUUUCAAUCAUGCACGUUAAUGCACUGCAUUGCAAGCCAAAACCAACCUCUUGUUUCUUGCAGCUCAUAUUACUUCUGCCAUCUCUUUCUCAAAUUCAAUCACAGCAAACCGAAGAUCAGCGCGCUAUGGUCUAUCAUCAUGUAUCGUUGUCGUUGCUAGGAAACUAAAAUGAUCAAGGCAAAGAACCAUUAAUAAAAGUGGGAUUAAUAAGUUAUCAGAAAGUCAUGCAGAACUCCUUAGAAUAAUUAUAAGGCCCUACUGCUUAACAUUGAUCAUCAAAAAGACAGAUUUCGUGCUAAUUAGGCAGCAGGCUAGGAACAUUCUAGUAACAAUGAAAUGAUAUAAAAGGCUAUUAUUGAUCUAACAUUGCAGAGGAAGAUGGCUGCACCUGCAUCAAUAAAGACAAAUUUUAUCUCCUGUUUUGUAAUUUGUGUCAGAAUAUGUGUGCCGUGGAUGAGAGGUUAUGUGUUGUUUUCAUAUUUAUUGAGAAAACCUACUAUGAAGAAACUAUAAAACCCAAAUCCACUCUACCUACCUGUGAUGGCAUCCUUUAUCUGAUUUUUAAUUUCUAUAUAUAUAUAUAUAUAUAUAUUUUUGUAAAGCAACCCAUUAUCACAAUUUUUAUUUUUAUUUUUGUACAAAUUUAUAUCCAUUUUAAAUGUAAUGUAAGCGUGUAUCAAACUGAUGUUAAUAGCCAUCAAGUUAUAUUAUGUGGAUUAAAACUGUAAUUUUUUUCAUAACCCAGUAAUUUUUUCAUAAAAUGGAAAAAUCAAUCAAACUUGCAACUACUGAAUUCAGGUGAGAGAAAUAAACAUUGCCUUAUUAUAUACACACCCACGUGUGUGUGUCUUCUUUAUGGCUUAUCUGAGGCUGAGUCAUUAAUUUCACCAGAAGAGAACUCGUAAAAUUUCGUUGAGACCUUCUCAACUUUUUUUUUUGGGGAGGUAUGAUUCGAAUUUACGAUAUUUUCCAACGAAAUAGUGAGAAACACCAUGUUGGUAAGACCAUUUCAACUUAAGCAUAAACGACUGCUUCAUUAAGACAGGGAACUUGUGUGUGAGUUGAACUUGAAGGCAUGAAAUGGUGAAGCUGUUAUAGUCUGAUCAAGUAAUUGCAGCAAACAUAACACAUUUAAGUUGCAAACCUUAUUUGAUUACAUUAAAUACAAAAGGACAGAUUAAUAUAUUACAGAAAACACAUACAGUACUUAAGGAUACUGCUAGUCAUAAGUAAUAUUAUAUAGGAUACGAUACCAUAGCUGUUAUACUAUUGUUUCUCAUUCGUACUGGGAAGGCCAAAGGAAGGCCCCCAUGGCAAACUUCCUCUUUUGGUUGACAUCUCCAAUGACUGGCAGGCCAUACUGUUUCAGAAGGCAGUCCAGUUUCCACUCCGGCAUGGUCUCGUAGUCGCGCUUCUGGUACCUCGGGUAGUGCAGAGGCAUCUGGAACUGACAGGUGGUGUUGUUCUUACUGGUUUGAUCAUGUCCUCCGAGCCGGGGCAUAGCGAAGGCAUGGUUGCUAAGGCCAGUUCCAGUACUCAUCUUCUCACUGAUUUUAUUUUCUCAAAUCCACUUAGCAAAUAAAAAACUCAUGCAAAGUUGCUAGCUUGCUAUUUAGUGUUGCAAAGUUGGCCUUUUAUAGGCAUCCUAGAGAGCAAGAGAGAGAGAGAGAGAGCAAGAUUAUUCGAGUAUGUGCUUGAAGACAAGAAAGAGUGAGAGAACAUCUAAUGACUUGAAAGUGAAACAUUUUGUGGAUGGUGAUGGCUCUUUUACCAGGGCAAGCUUGAGGGUUUUGAGAGUCACGAUUCAAAUCCUCAAGUUACAUAGUUACAGCGAAACUUACCUAUCUCCAAAUAAAUGCACAAAGAUAGAAUGAUUAGGAUUCUAUAAUUGAGUUCCAACUGAAACAUCC
rnacentral:lncRNA from 1 species